rnacentral:rRNA from 1 species
GACGAACGCUGGCGGCGUGCCUAAUACAUGCAAGUCGAACGCAGUGGGGACGGGUGCGUAACACGUGGGUAACCUCCCAUCAGAGGGGAUAACACUUGGAAACAGGUGCUAAACCGCUACUGGUUGAUGGACCCGCGGUGCAUUAGCUAGUUGGUGCGGUAACGGCUCACCAAGGCCACGAUGCAUAGCGGGCCUGAGAGGGUGAGAGGCCACACUGGGACUGAGACACGGCCCAGACGCCUACGGGAGGCAGCAGUAGGGAAUCUUCGGCAAUGGACGAAAGUCUGACCGAGCAACGCCGCGUGAGUGAAGAAGGUUUUCGGAUCGUAAAACUCUGUUGGUAGAGAAGCGGUAUCUAAACAGAAAGCCACGGCUAACUACGUGCCAGCAGCCGCGGUAAUAC